GAUGAAGAACGCAGCGAAAUGCGAUAAGUAAUGUGAAUUGCAGAAUUCAGUGAAUCAUCGAAUCUUUGAACGCAUCUUGCACUCCUUGGUAUUCCGAGGAGUACGCCUGUUCGAGUGUUAUGAAGCUCUCAAAACGCAAUUGGCUUAAAACCUGAUUGUUGUUUUGGAUUUGAACUUUGCCGUGUUAUAACGGCUGGUUUUAAAAGUAUUAGCUGGUACUAGAACGAAUUGGUUCUACUCAACGUGAUAAUUAUCUGAUCGUUGAGGACAUUCCUUUCACGAGGAAUGGCCAUAGUAAAUUCAAUGGACUGCUUCUAAUCCGGCUUUAAUUCUUUAUUGGAUUAACCACUUUUCAAAUCUGACCUCGAAUCAGGUGGGACUACCCGCUGAACUUAAGCAUAUCAAUAAGCGGAGGA
rnacentral:misc_RNA from 1 species